rnacentral:tRNA from 1 species
AUGCGGGUAGUUCAGUCGUAGAACAUUCCCCUUAUACGGGAAAGGUCGCGCGGUGCAAAUCCCGCCCCGCAUACCA